GGAGAGAUGCCGGAGUGGUUUAUCGGAGCGGUCUUGAAAACCGUCGUGGGUUACACCACCGGGAGUUCGAAUCUCCCUCUCUCCGCCA
rnacentral:tRNA from 1 species